CUCUGUGACUCCUACGGGAGGCAUCAGUGGGAAUAUUGCACAAUGGGCGCAAGCCUGAUGCAGCAACGCCGCGUGAGCGAUGAAGGCCUUCGGGUCGUAAAGCUCUGUCCUCAAGGAAGAAUAAAUGACGGUACUUGAGGAGGAAGCCCCCGGCUAACUACGUGCCAGCAGCCGCGGUAAUACGUAGGGGCAAGCGUUAUCCGGAAUCACUGGGCGUAAAGGGGUGCGUAGGCGGUUUUUCAAGUCAGAAGUGAAAGGCUAUGGCUCAACCAUAGUAAGCUUUUGAAACUGUUAAACUUGAGUGCAGGAGAGGAAAGUGGAAUUCCUAGUGUAGAGGUGAAAUUCGUAGAUAUUAGGAGGAACACCAGUGGCGAAGGCGACUUUCUGGACUGUAACUGACGCUGAGGCACGAAAGCGUGGGGAGCGAACAGGAUUAGAUACCCUGGUAG
rnacentral:rRNA from 1 species